GAUGAAGAACGUAGCGAAAUGCGAUAAGUAAUGUGAAUUGCAGAAUUCAGUGAAUCAUCGAAUCUUUGAACGCACAUUGCGCCCGCCAGUAUUCUGGCGGGCAUGCCUGUUCGAGCGUCAUUACAACCCUCAGGCCCCCGGGCCUGGCGUUGGGGAUCGGCAGAAGCCCCCUGUGGGCACACGCCGUCCCUCAAAUACAGUGGCGGUCCCGCCGCAGCUUCCAUUGCGUAGUAGCUAACACCUCGCAACUGGAGAGCGGCGCGGCCAUGCCGUAAAACACCCAACUUCUGAAUGUUGACCUCGAAUCAGGUAGGAAUACCCGCUGAACUUAAGCAUAUCAAUAACGGAGGA
rnacentral:misc_RNA from 1 species